CAGGAAUGCACCUAAUGUAAAACUCCCCGGAGUGGACAGGUACAGACAAGGGGCGACAUUAAUGUUUCAUCACUGACAAACGGAGCGGAACUGAGAGUGCUGCUGAUGUGGUUGCAGAGGUGAUGGACCAGUCAAAGCGAGUGUCCCUGUGGACAGUGGAGGACGUGUUGGAGUGGGUGCAGGAUCAGUAUCCAGCCCAGAUGAACAAACUCCACAAAGCCAUCAUUAAACACGCCAUAUCAGGCCGCGCGUUGCUGAGAUUAAAGGAUCAUCACCUGGAGCUUCUCGGGGUGGAAGCUGAGGAGCAGCAGCAGGAAAUGUUGCAGGACCUUCUCCUCCUCAGAGUUCAGGAGGAAAUCAAUGAACUGAGCGACAUCUGCUCGGACUGUUUCUCUCUGUAAUAAAUCUCGAGAAGAAGUGCCGCUGUCCCCCCCUUUUUCUUAAUUUCCCUUCCAUCCAUUCAUCCGUGUGAAGUGAAGAGAGAAAUGUGCGAGUGAAAGAAAACACAGAGAGAAAGAAGAAUCAAUGAGGAAUGAAGAGACAGAAACCUAUUUCCUGGAUGAAAUCCGACCUGGGCAGACGGAUGAGAUUAGUUUUUGUCUUUUGCUCACUGUCCAUUAGUCCCUGUCUUUUUUUCCCUUUUUCUCAAUAAUGGGUUUUUUAUUCCAACAGAGUUUUAUGAUGCACAGAGUAUUGACUUGUUUUUUUUUUACCCAAGUAACAAGACUGACAAACCUCAAUGGACAAUAUUUGUCCAUUAUGUAAUUGGAUGACACGUUGGAGUUAUCAAAUCUAAACCAGACGCUUACAGGAAAUUGUGGACAUGAUAUGUGGCCUGAUAAUAAGAUUAUGUAGAAUAUAAUCUCACAUAUGCAGUUCAUAUAUACACUUCUAUACUGAUUAAAAAUCAGUACACUGCAGUGUAUCUGUUACUGGGCUGCAUUAUGUGAAAGUCAGAGUGAAUAUUCUUUUUGAUUUAAAUAUUAAUAUGUGCUAUAAUUCAUAAUAUAGAUUUUUUUGACUUGUCCUAACACACCGACUACGAUUACAUUGACGACACUGUUGGGUUAUUAACCAAAGUUAGGCAAUAUUUUAAUUAGAAUAACUCUCAAAAGUGCUCAGACCUCCACCAACGCUCAACUGGACCUGCAUCAAAAUUUAAUGAGUUCUUUUUUUGGCCCAUACCCCAUCCCUCGAUUAGAGCCUCUUUCACACUAAAAUAAACUGGAAUAUUCUGGAUUUUUAAAUCAGGGUGAAAAAGGGUGACCACACCUGGUUCACUCCUGUGAUGAAACUGAUCCUUUAGAAUAAUCUGAUUGAUGACAUAAAUAUCAGUUUAAUAGUAAGGUUUGCCAUAAAAACAUUUCCGCUAAAGUCUAUGCUAACAGCCACCAUUUCCUGACCCAGUCUCUAGAACUAGCAAAAAUGAAACAGAAGAAGACGAAAUAAGCAUAAACACCAUAGUCUUGCGUUCUCACUGAUGUACAAUCGUUUAACCCGCGAGUGAAUGUCAAUUAAAUACAUUUCCACCGAUGAAAAACCAGUUAAAACCUGGGACUUACCUGCUCGUUUGGCUAGUUUUGAGUGUGGUGUAGGUUGGUGUGUGUGUGUAAACAGUACAGGUUGACCUGGUGAAAAGAACAGGGACAGGAGGGGGGUGUGGUCAGGUAAAUGGCGGGAAAGAAAACUAAGACCAGGAUAAGGAGCGUGGAGAGGAAUUGAGUAACCAAAACAAAGCAGGACAUUUUUACUGCUAAAUCUGUAACACAUACAAUUACUUAUUUUUAACAGACACCUUCUAUCAGUAAAUUUGAUAAAUUAAUCACAACUUUAUUUUAUGCAGGUUAUGUUAAACAUAACUUAAGUUAAAUUAAUUAUUUGGUGACUCUCCCUCAAACUAAAUAGGGUCAUACUCAGAAGACAGUAUUCAGAUUUUAGUCCCAUUAUGUAACUGGAAAGUUCUUGGAGAGCUCAAAACCAUGUAAGAUAAACAAUUUCCUAACUGUUAAAGAAUCAAGAAUCGAAUACACCCAUGUAAUCAGAUCCACUCCAUAAUUUAAUGUGUUAAUCCCUCACAUUUGGUGUCCCAACGCUCCAAAGAAAUAGCUUUGUAUAUGUUAAAAUUGCAGUAUAUUGCAUGUAUGACUCAUGUCAAACAUGUAAACAGGAAGGUUGGUGGAAUAUUCUAGUUGUAACUUAUUCAAAACAUCAUAAACUGAAUAAUAUCUUAUUCAAAAUCAGAACAUUGUCGUCCAUGUAAACAAAGUCAGGGAUAACAGUGAUUGUGGUGAAUCCUGUUUCAACUUUUCCGCAGCUAAUACUUGCAAAAGCCACUUCUUUAUGAAUGGCCAUAAUAACCGGUCCUAAAACUUUCAUACAGCUUAAUUUCCUGCUUCCUUUAUUUAUGAUGUUGUCCACUUUUUAGUGUGUAUUAUGGCAUCAGUGAUGCUGCAUUUGUGUUCCAUAAAAAAAAGUGACUUUUGUCAUGGCACUGUUACCGUAUGGUCAGCUGAAUUAAAAGUGCUGCUUUGGCAACACCG